rnacentral:rRNA from 1 species
UUGACCUCRAAUCAGGUAGGACUACCCGCUGAACUUAAGCAUAUCAAUAAGCGGAGGAAAAGAAACUAACAAGGAUUCCCCUAGUAACUGCGAGUG